GAUCUGUACUGGGGAAGCUGAUUGCUUGCAUUAUAUGAACACUGCCUACUGGUUUUAGAGAUGAUGUAAGGAUGUGGUUAGCCAACCUGUGUUUGUCAGUCACAUUUAAUAUUUAGGGUGGUGGUAAUAUUCACAACAAACAACCCAUUAUAAACCCACACAAAUCUACUGUGGUUACAAGUCAGUCACAUUGAAAAGUCUUCUAAUGAUGUAAAUUGUUUAAAUGUAUCUGUUUAAACAAUAGCCCCCCAAAAAAUCAUGCUAAUUACUGGUUUGGUUUUCAGGCUGAG